GCCUGUGUGGUUUAGUGGUUUGAGCAUUGCACUAUGACUCUGAAGACCAGGGUUCAAAUCUUGGCUUGGCCA